rnacentral:rRNA from 1 species
CAUACAAAGAGAAGCGACCUCGCGAGAGCAAGCGGACCUCAUAAAGUGCGUCGUAGUCCGGAUUGGAGUCUGCAACUCGACUCCAUGAAGUCGGAAUCGCUAGUAAUCGUGGAUCAGAAUGCCACGGUGAAUACGUUCCCGGGCCUUGUACACACCGCCCGUCACACCAUGGGAGUGGGUUGCAAAAGAAGUAGGUAGCUUAACCUUCGGGAGGGCGCUUACCACUUUGUGAUUCAUGACUGGGGUGAAGUCGUAACAAGGUAACCGUAGGGGAACCUGCGGUUGGAUCACCUCCUUACCUUAAAGAAGC